rnacentral:rRNA from 1 species
UGCCAGCCGCCGCGGUAAGACGGAGGGUGCUAGCGUUAUUCGGAAUGACUGGGCGUAAAGGGCGUGUAGGCGGUUAUAUAAGUUAGACGUGAAAGCCCCGGGCUUAACCUGGGAACAGCGUUUAAUACUGUAUGACUAGAGACCGAGAGAGGAAAGCGGAAUUCCUAGUGUAGAGGUGAAAUUCGUAGAUAUUAGGAGGAACACCAGAGGCGAAGGCGGCUUUCUGGGCCGAUAUUGACGCUGAGGCGCGAAGGCGUGGGUAGCGAACGGGAUUAGAUA